UGGUAAAUCACUUAUCAAUCAGCUGAUUGAAAAAACAUAAAUUACAAUAUUUGCAAAAAUAAGUAUUUCGCAGUCAAAAUGCCAAGGAGAAUUGAAAAUUUAAAAUAAUGGGCGCGCUGUAAAGAAUCAGGCAUUAAACCUGAUGAUACUUGACUCUUCGACGAGGAAGAUGCGGACGAAAUGUUUGAAAACUUUUCAUUGAACUUUCUUCACUUAUUAAACACUCGUAGAAGUGUUCAUCUCGGAAUACCAAAGUCAUCCCAAUGGCGACAUGUUAUACUUAGGAAUUUUGAUGACAGCCAUUUCAACGAAAUGAUUCGUGUUCGCCCGGUCGAAUUUGGCCGCUUCCUAGGUUAUAUAAAGGACGAUAGUGUAUUUAACACAAAUUCUAGUGGAGCAUAACUUCCUUUGCAUUCACAAUUAAAAAUAGUGUUAUUUAGGUUAGGAUCCUCCGGAGAUGGAUUAUCUAUACGAAAGGUGGCUUCACUGUUUGGCGUGGGCGAUGGGGGAACUAUUCAAAAUAUAACUAAAGGCGUAUUUAAAGCAAUAUUGAGGUUAACUUUCUGUUUUGGCCAAAUGAAAAGGAACGGUUGGAAAUUGUUACUGGAACGCGGAAAGAGAUGCCAGGUUGUAUAGGAUAUAUUGAUGGAUCCAAAUUAAAGUUGGCUGAAGCGCCAGCCAAAAAACAUAAACUUUUUUAUUCACGAAAACGCCAAAUGCCAUUAAAAUGCAAGCUGUUUGUGACUAUAGGCUACGAAUUAAACAAGUCACAAUAAGAUACCCUGGAAGUGUUCAUAACGCCAUCUGACUCUCAAUGCAUUGUUGGAUAUAGCGCCUAACCACGCAAGUAGUUUUUAUGUACAUCAGUAAAAAUAGUACGGACUACACUACGGAAGAAAGAAACAGUUUCAAUAAGUACUUUUCAAAAUAUCGUGUUCGAAAGAAUUUAGAAUGAUAAAUGAGCACAAUAAAAGAGAGUGCAAUGAGUGGAUAAUGGUAUGCUGCAUUCUCCAUAAUAUGCUAAUCAAUUUCCAAAUUGAAAACGAAGAAAGCAACCCACCUCAAUAUAGCUUACCAUCAGAAAGUAACACAAAAUCUAGCCUUCUUGACUUCAUACAAAAUCAUAUAUUAACUUAAAAUACAUCAUAAUUCCAAAGUAUAUUUACUAUUCAUUGGUUUAAUUAAAACAUAUAUAAAAAUGUUUUUUUUUAUUUAAAAAUUAAUAUAAAAGGAAAACAAAUAUCGCGAACUCGAAACCCAAAACCUAGGAGGUCUAAGGCUAAAACACACAAAAUAAAAACAAAAAGUUUGAGAGAAUGUUUUGUACGGUGUACCGAUAAUGCAACAAACAAUCGACACGGAGACGAUCGCUUAAAAUAAAAAAGCCGUAAAGGGCUAUUUGGAUGAUAUCUAAUACUGCAAAAAAUAAAAUUUCUUCUUCACCAACCGUGUUAUUUCAAAAUCGUUUUAAAAAAGUUUUUUUGUAUAUUACAUAUAUUAGUAUAACAAAUAUAUAUAAACAAAAUGAAACAAGACAAAUUUUAUCAUUGUAUUAAAUAUAUAUAAAAAAUAAAAGAUUAAAGUGGAUAAUAUGGCUGAAGGCAUAGCUCGACUGAUUGCGAUUCAAACGACAAACUUAAGAACUGACAUACAAGUAGCUCAGCUAAAUAGCCAGAUAGAAAACAUAACUGCUACGCAAGUGAGUUCGUUUAUAUUAUUAUUCGGAUAGAAGGCCAAUUUAUAUACAUAAUUGAUCAUGAAAUGAGCAUACUUAGAAAAUGAUCGCAAUCCUUAAUAGAUUAUUACAAUGAAGUCAAUAAGAAAUAAGCACUAUUAAUUAAUAAAACUAUAACACACGGAAGAAAUUCCGAAAUUACAAAACAAUUAAAUAAUAAAAACUGAGAAACCGCGCUUAGAACAUUCAUAACUGGUUUAAAUUAUCCUUUAAACCAAAUAUUUUUUAUGUUAACGACUACCGAUUUGCAAUAGACUUAGAUCAAUCAUUCAAAUAAUAAAUAACCGCAGGCCUAUAAGUUAGCAACAUUAAAGUUAACUGCGAUAAGCAGAAUAAUGCUGGAUAAGCAAUUAACCAAUCAACAUCCGGCACGCGCAGUAUAAACUACAGACAGGAAUUAAUGCUGACCAACAAUAAUGCAACCAUUGCAACAAUUGUCGAGCAGUUAACAAAUCAACAUCCGGCACACGCGGAAUAACAAGACACAAGUAAAUAAAUCAAUAGUGCUCGCAUAAGUAAUUUUUAAGUUAUAAAUAAUUGUUAAUUGAAAUUGUAAUUUUAGUCUUAGAAGAACAUUUGACAAUAAAGGUCACUUUGACCAAAAAAAUAAAUUUUUUUAGCCGUUUUAAUUUAACCGACAAUAAUUGGCGCCCGAGCUUAAAAAAAGCUUGUUGGUUCGUGAAAGUCUAAAAGUGCCUUUAAAAAAAUAUAGUAAAAAACGCCGCGAAAAAGACAGUGAGCGUGUGGAGGAUAGAACAAGAGACUUCCUGGAUGCUCCAACGACACCAACAAGGAAUAACAGCGAAAGCCUACAGCCAACAAAGCCUACAGUAACAAAAACAGUGUGAGAAGGUGUACCUCAGUACCAACAAGGAAAAGGGACAAAUACACGAUCAUCGGUUAAGAGGAUAAUGAAGCUGUAUAUAGUGUAAGUAGCAUAAGAAAUGUAAUUAAUAAUAAAAAAAAAACAGAGAGAAGAAAAAUUGUGAAAAAAGUUUAAAAAAGAAAAAAUUGUUCUUAAUAAUAAAUAAAUUAUUAAGUAAGAGGAAAAUUUUAACUAUUAAGCUACAGAAAAAUUGCUACAGAAUUCUCGUUAAAGCUAUAGUUUAAGUAAAUAUAACCAAAAAAAUAAAAUACGGCUUAUACAGCCAAUAAUAUAAACUAAACUGAAAAUAAUAUUGCUUAACUAUGUGAUUCCGUAGCCAACUCAGAAGUUGACCGGACCCUCCAGGGUAAAAAGCCCCCUUGCUAGAAGGGAUAACAAAAAAUAUAAAUACUCAAAGGAAAAAAAGAAAGGAAAAAAAAUUAAAAAUGGCAAAUCCAAACAAUCUAAUUAGACCCCCUGUACUCGGGAUUAAUUCUCCUGCUGCACCAACAGCACCGUCAGGUCCUAAUAACACAAUUCCGCCAGAAUUGGCGAACAUGAUAAAAAACAUGGUAACUUUAGCAAUAGAGGCAAGUGUACCUAAUGUAGUACAUAAAAUUUAUUGUUUGUUUUUUAGUAACGCUAACGCUCGAGAACGGCGGAACCAAUCUUCAUGAAAUCAGAAGUUGUUCGCUGUGGAUCUGGAAAGGGUUAGAUAUAAAACAAACCAUAUACUUUUCAUAAGGAAAAGCCGAAAGAUUGGAAAUUUCCAAAAAGUGACUUUUCAUACAAUUCUUUUUUGUUUUGUUUUUCAAUAUUUUGAUUUGUAAAUUAUUUGAAUCGUUCAAUUUCGGUCGCUUGCUUUUUUAUUCCGGCUAUUUUAAAAACAAAUUUUGAAAAUUAUUCAGUGAAAACUUUAUGUGUGUUUCAAACGAAGUGAUCAAUUACAGAUUGAAAUUUGUUACGAAGCAACGAAGACCUCGCUCUAAUAUCGGUCGUCGUUCUUUUUGCCAUCUACGUAUGGCAGCCCAAGACACAUGAACUACAUGAGACUCCCAGGAUGCGAUAACAUAUGUGUGGAAUUAUGGAUCGCUGUCAAUCAGCAAGCGAUCAUCACGAUAAUACAGCAAGACUUUUCAAACAACAGCUACGAUGUUUGAUGGACUUUAUCUUGAAGCAACGUAUGUAUAUACAAGUAUGGUGCAGUCAGAUGCUGGAUGUACUCUGCUGAGUUGCAAAAAAGAGGUUUGCCGCACGUGCACAUUCUUCUUUGAAUGGUGGAUGGUGGUUACACCAGAUCAAAUUGAUGAAAUCAUUUCUGCGGAAAUUCCUCAUGCAGAGAAAGAUCCAUUAUUCUACGAAGUGAUGAAAACCAAUAUGGCGCAUGGAUCUUGCGGGCACCACAAUUACACUUGCAAUAAAUGCACGAAACACUAUCCACGUGCUUUUCUUUCGGAAACGCAAACUGGAAAUGAUGGAUAUCCACUCUAUCGUCGUAGCUCAUCAGACGAAAAUGGCACGACAUUUACCAUUCAACUUAGAGUAGUGAAUAUUGAAGAGAAUACAGUACAGCCAGCAGAAAUACUUCCAACAACAAAAUUUACAUUGACAAUUUUUUUCUCAACUUGCGUCAGUGAUUCGUUUGUGAGAACAUUGCUCUAUUUGGAAAUGCCUUGAUAUUAUGCAUGUAAUGCAUCGCCGAAGAAACAGGUACGCAGAAAGCAAGGCCAACCAAUAGAUUGACAUCCAGGUGUGUUCUCAACUAAUUCCUUAGGACGAAUUUACAUAAUCCACCCGAAAAACUACGAUUGCUAAUACCUUCGAUUGCUAUUAAUAAAUGUACGUCGUUCAGUUUGCUUUGAGUCAUUGCGCACACUUUUCGCGAUGGUGACAUAUCAGCCUUCAAAGCCGC